rnacentral:rRNA from 1 species
AGGACAAACGCUGGCGGCGUACCUAAGACAUGCAAGUCGAACGGGCGCUUCACCUUCGGGUGGGUGUGCUAGUGGCGGACGGGUGAGUAACGCGUAGGAACCUGUCAUCAAGAGGGGGAUAACGCUGGGAAACCGGCGCUAAUACCGCAUGUGGUCAUGAAAAUGAAGAAAGCAGCAAUGCGCUUGAUGAGGGGCCUGCGUCCGAUUAGCUUGUUGGUGGGGUAAAGGCCUACCAAGGCAUCGAUCGGUAGCUGGUCUGAGAGGAUGGUCAGCCACACUGGGACUGAGACACGGCCCAGACUCCUACGGGAGGCAGCAGUUAGGAAAUUUUCCCAAUGGGCGCAAGCCUGAGGGAGUAACGCCGCGUGGAGGAUGACGGCUUUCGGGUUGUAAACUCCUUUUCUGUGGAAGAGUAGAAGACGGUACGCAGGAAUAAGCCUCGGCUAACUACGUGCCAGCAGCCGC